rnacentral:rRNA from 1 species
AUACGUAGGGGGCGAGCGUUGUCCGGAAUGAUUGGGCGUAAAGGGCGCGUAGGCGGCCCGGUAAGUCUGGAGUGAAAGUCCUGUUUUUAAGAUGGGAAUUGCUUUGGAUACUGUCGGGCUUGAGUGCAGGAGAGGUAAGUGGAAUUCCCAGUGUAGCGGUGAAAUGCGUAGAGAUUGGGAGGAACACCAGUGGCGAAGGCGACUUACUGGACUGUAACUGACGCUGAGGCGCGAAAGUGUGGGGAGCAAACAGGAUUAGAUACCCUGGUAGUCCACACUGUAAACGAUGAAUGCUAGGUGUAGGGGGUAUCGACCCCUUCUGUGCCGCAGUCAACACAAUAAGCAUUCCGCCUGGGGAGUACGUCCGCAAGGUUGAAACUUAAAGGAAUUGACGGGG